AACGAACGCUGGCGGCAGGCCUAACACAUGCAAGUCGAACGCCCUAGCAAUAGGGAGUGGCAGACGGGUGAGUAACGCGUGGGAACGUACCCUUCGGUUCGGAAUAACCCAGGGAAACUUGGACUAAUACCGGAUACGUGCGAGAGCAGAAAGAUUUAUCGCCGAAGGAUCGGCCCGCGUCCGAUUAGCUAGUUGGUGAGGUAAUGGCUCACCAAGGCGACGAUCGGUAGCUGGUCNGAGAGGAUGAUCAGCCACACUGGGACUGAGACACGGCCCAGACUCCUACGGGAGGCAGCA
rnacentral:rRNA from 1 species